GGCUCAGGACGAACGCUGGCGGCGUGCUUAACACAUGCAAGUCGAACGGGAAACCUUUUAUUGAAGCUUCGGCAGAUUUAGAUUGUUUCUAGUGGCGGACGGGUGAGUAACGCGUGGGUAACCUGCCUUGUACAGGGGGAUAACAGUCAGAAAUGACUGCUAAUACCGCAUAAGCGCACAGAGCUGCAUGGCUCCGUGUGAAAAACUCCGGUGGUAUAAGAUGGACCCGCGUUGGAUUAGCUAGUUGGUGGGGUAACGGCCCACCAAGGCGACGAUCCAUAGCCGGCCUGAGAGGGUGAACGGCCACAUUGGGACUGAGACACGGCCCAGACUCCUACGGGAGGCAGCAGUAGG
rnacentral:rRNA from 1 species